rnacentral:snoRNA from 1 species
UACCGUGAUGACACGCUGUCGCCCCAAACGGAGGCUCCUUUUACAGGACUAUGACCGAAUCGAUUUUAUGCCAAACACACUGAAAAUUCUGAAG